rnacentral:rRNA from 1 species
UACGGGGGGGGCAAGCGUUGUUCGGAAUUACUGGGCGUAAAGGGCUUGUAGGUGGCCAACUAAGUCAAACGUGAAAUCCCUCGGCUCAACCGAGGAACUGCGUCCGAUACUGGCAGGCUGGAAUCCGGGAGAGGGAUGUGGAAUUCCAGGUGUAGCGGUGAAAUGCGUAGAUAUCUGGAGGAACACCGGUGGCGAAGGCGGCAUCCUGGACCGGUAUUGACGCUGAGGCGCGAAAGCUAGGGGAGCAAACGGG